AGAGUUUGAUCCUGGCUCAGGACGAACGCUGGCGGCGUGCCUAAUGCAUGCAAGUCGAACGCAGCAGCUUCGGCUGGGCUGCGUGGCGAACGGCUGAGGAACACGUGGGUGACCUGCCCCAGAGUGGGGGAUACCCCGUCGAAAGACGGGAUAAUCCCGCAUACGCUCUACGGAGGAAAGCCCCUACGGGCGCUCUGGGAGGGGCCUGCGGCCCAUCAGGUUGUUGGUGUGGUAACGGCGCACCAAGCCACUGACGGGUACCCGGUCUGAGAGGACGGCCGGGCAGACUGGGACUGCGACACGGCCCAGACUCCUACGGGAGGCAGCAGCAAGGAAUUUUCCCCAAUGGGCGCAAGCCUGAGGGAGCAACGCCGCGUGGAGGACGACGGCCUUCGGGUUGUAAACUCCUUUCGGGUGGGACGACUCCGACGGUACCACCAGAAGCAGCCACGACUAACUCUGUGCCAGCAGCCGCGGUAAGACAGAGGGGGCAAGCGUUGUCCGGAGUUACUGGGCGUAAAGGGCGCGGAGGCGGUCUGCGGCGUCGGCGCUGAAAGCGCCCCGCUUAACGGGGCGAGGCGUGCCGAUACGCGCAGACUUGAGGCGAGCAGAGGGUGGUGGAAUUCCGGGUGGAGCGGUGAAAUGCGUAGAGAUCCGGAGGAACGCCAGUGGGGAAGCCGGCCACCUGGGCUCGGCCUGACGCUGCGGCGCGACCGCGUGGGGAGCAAACCGGAUUAGAUACCCGGGUCUCCACGCCGUAAACGAUGCCAGCUCGGCGUGUGGCGCUCGAUAAUACGCUGCGUGCCUUAGCUCACGCGAUAAGCUGGCCGCCUAAGACUACGAGCGCAGCUGAGUCUGUUCCCAGUCAACCC
rnacentral:rRNA from 1 species